rnacentral:rRNA from 1 species
GAUGAACGCUGGCGGCGUGCUUAACACAUGCAAGUCGAACGGGAUCCAUCAAGCUUGCUUGGUGGUGAGAGUGGCGAACGGGUGAGUAAUGCGUGACCGACCUGCCCCAUGCUCCGGAAUAGCUCCUGGAAACGGGUGGUAAUGCCGGAUGUUCCACAUGAUCGCAUGUGAUUGUGGGAAAGAUUCUAUCGGCGUGGGAUGGGGUCGCGUCCUAUCAGCUUGUUGGUGAGGUAACGGCUCACCAAGGCUUCGACGGGUAGCCGGCCCGAGAGGGCGACCGGCCACAUUGGGACUGAGAUACGGCCCAGACUCCUACGGGAGGCAGCAGUGGGGAAUAUUGCACAAUGGGCGCAAGCCUGAUGCAGCGACGCCGCGUGAGGGAUGGAGGCCUUCGGGUUGUAAACCUCUUUUGUUUGGGAGCAAGCCUUCGGGUGAGUGUACCUUUCGAAUAAG